AACGAACGCUGGCGGCGUGGAUAAGACAUGCAAGUCGAACGGGACAUUAUUGGUAGCAAUAUCAAUGAUGUUCAGUGGCGUAAGGGUGCGUAACACGUGGGCAACCUGCCGAAGAGGGGGGGAUAGCUCGCCGAAAGGCGAAUUAAUACCGCAUGUGGUUGGCGAAGACAUCUUCGCGACACCAAAGCCGGGGCAACCUGGCGCUCUUUGAUGGGCCCGCGGCCUAUCAGCUAGUUGGUGAGGUAACGGCUCACCAAGGCUAUGACGGGUAGCUGGUCUGAGAGGACGACCAGCCACACUGGAACUGAGACACGGUCCAGACACCUACGGGUGGCAGCAGUCGAGAAUUUUUCUCAAUGGGGGAAACCCUGAAGGAGCGACGCCGCGUGGAGGAUGAAGGUCUUCGGAUUGUAAACUCCUGUCAUUAGGGAACAAUUGUCCGCGAUUAACUGUCGCGGGCUUGAUAGUACCUGAAGAGGAAGAGACGGCUAACUCUGUGCCAGCAGCCGCGGUAAUACAGAGGUCUCAAGCGUUGUUCGGAUUCAUUGGGCGUAAAGGGUGCGUAGGCGGCGGGGUAAGUCAGGUGUGAAAUCUCGGAGCUCAACUCCGAAACUGCAUUUGAUACUGCCUUGCUAGAGUACUGGAGAGGAGAUUGGAAUUUACGGUGUAGCAGUGAAAUGCGUAGAUAUCGUAAGGAAGACCAGUGGCGAAGGCGAAUCUCUGGACAGUUACUGACGCUGAGGCACGAAGGCCAGGGGAGCAAACGGGAUUAGAUACCCCGGUAGUCCUGGCAGUAAACGGUGCAUGUUUGGUGUGGGAGGAUUCGACCCCUUCUGUGCCGGAGCUAACGCGUUAAACAUGCCGCCUGGGGAGUNCGGUCGCAAGAUA
rnacentral:rRNA from 1 species